CCAUAUAGCUUUGAACUAAUUUUCACGCUCAAGUAGUCAGGGGAGUGUUCAGGUAUAAGCCAUUUGUUGGGUAACUAUUUGCGACCGGUGACAAGUAUUUGAUAUUUCUUUAAUUCUGAGCUCAUUUAUACUUCCCCGAAAGUUUUUGAUACCAGUUCUUCAUUGGUAUAAAUAAAAUUCUGAGUCAUAUUGUCUUGCUUUCUUCUAGUUUCCUGUUGUGUCAAGACAAAAACAACAAUGCAAUGAUGAUGACUCACAAAAAGAACACAUUCCUCUUACAAAUCAUGGAAAAGUAUGCCUGCAUAAAAAAGAUCAUCAGAGAAAUAGAUUUUACACCGUAUCAAAUGCAAUACCAUAUAAAAAUUUCGAAUCGUAAAUUUAUAAAUUGAACUGUUGAGAGGAAAACUAUGGUAUCUAAUUCGACGCAGUGGGAGAGCUUAUAUCUAUUGUGAGCCGUAUACGUCAGUCGGAUAUUAAAUUAUAUCUUUGUCUUAUUAUCAUUAUUUAGUGGUAACAUCAUCUAGUUACAAUAUAUGUAUAUUUUUUUGUUAAAGUUUACCAAGAAACAUAUUUACUUCCUAGAAUUUUUAGUUCCUUGUGCGGUCUUAAGGGGGAAAUUAUUUUUUAAUACAUCCAUGAUAUAUAUGUUAUGAAGGUCAUUCACGUUGUUAUGUCAUUAAUUACGGGCGCUAAUAUACAUGUACUAUUUAAAACAAUUAAAACAAGAUACUAUUUAUAUUCUACACAAGAGGAUGUAAAUUUCAUACAAUAAAAAUGCAUUGGACAGAUAAGAUCGUGUUUUUUGUUUCAUAUGUGAGUUUAUUAAACGGGAUUUAUGCCGCAACACCUUCAAGCUGUUCUGAUAUUCGUGUAGUAGACCUAUCUCAUGUACAUGGACCCAAACCUCUCACUGCUCCAUUCUUUCCAGCAUACAGUUUUGAAAUUGUAAACAGAUCUAUCAGCCAGGCACUUGGGGGUAAUUGGUUUGAGACUAACUAUAUUGGUACAUCUGAACACAGUGGAACCCACAUAGAUGCUCCUUCUCACUUCUACAGAAACAGAAAACGCAUGCACGAGAUUCCACUGGACAAGUUAUAUGGGCCUGGAGUUAUAAUAGAUAUUAGGAGACAGGUUUCGGGAAACGUGAAUUACAGAGUAAAAGUAUCGGACAUAAAACGAUGGGAGGCAACUCAUGGCCGAAUACCGAAGGGGGCAGUCAUUCUGUUUAAUUCCGGCUGGUCUAGUAGAUACCCAGAUCCAUUUACAGUGUUCAAUACUCAAAACACUUCUGAUGUUUCAUCAUACCAAUUUCCAUCCUAUGAAUUCAAAGCAAUUACAUUUUUAGCGAAAUUUCGUUCUGUUAACAUUGUGGGAAGUGACACUCCGUCUAUUGGCGACUCACCUCCGGGUAAAGUUGAUUUGUCAAAUUUUACAUUUCUAUUUCAAAGAAACAUACCUGUGGUGUUGAAUGUUGCCAAUCUUGACAGACUCCCUCUUUCAGGAUCGACAAUAUUUGUCCCUGCUAUCAACAUAUACGAUGGAAGUGGUGCACCGGCCAGAAUUUUUGCAACAGUUCCAGCGUCAAAAAUGAAAAAUAUAUAUUAAAUAAAACGUAAUGAUUAACAUUAAAAUUUUGUACAAUGUUUAACAUUUAAAAUCGUUUCCUUUUGUUGACUUAAUUUGCCAUUAAAACUUUUUUUAUU